CAGCCGCCGCGGUAAUACAGAGACUGCAAGCGUUAUUCGGAUUCACUGGGCGUAAAGGGUGCGCAGGCGGCCAUGCGUGCGAGGCGUGAAAGCCCGAUGCUUAACAUCGGAAUUGCACCUCAAACUACAUGGCUAGAGCAUUGGAGAGGGUAGCAGAAUUCAUGGUGUAGCAGUGAAAUGCGUAGAUAUCAUGAGGAAUACCAGAGGCGAAGGCGGCUACCUGGACAAUUGCUGACGCUCAGGCACGAAAGCGUGGGGAGCAAAAGGGAUUAGAUACCCCCGUAGUCCCUGUCUCUUAUAC
rnacentral:rRNA from 1 species